rnacentral:rRNA from 1 species
UCAAAUCANGUAGGACUACCCGCUGAACUUAAGCAUAUCAAUAA